rnacentral:ncRNA from 1 species
UAUCCCAUGCUAAUGUAUACAGAGCGUAGGCUUUUUUUAGGCACUCCAAUUUCUUCAAAGUAACAGCACCAGAGGCACGAUCCGACCAGUUAAGACUAGGAGUGUAUCGCCGGUAGAAGAGACAAGUAAUUCUAGAGCUAAUACGUGCAAGAAACCCCGACUUUUGGAAGGGAUGCAUUUAUUCGAUAAAAUGUUGACGUGAGCUUUGCUCAUUGCUCUAAUGAUUCAUGAUAACUUGAUGGAUCGCACAGCCAUCAUGCCGGUGACGCAUCAUUCAAAUCUCUAUCUCUACCCUAUCAAAUGGUAAGAUUGUGGACUAAUAUGGUGGUGACGGGUGACGGAGAAUUAGGGUUCAAUUUCCGGAGACAGAGCCUAGGAAAUGGCUACCACAUCCAAAGAAGGCAACAGGCGCACAAAUUACAUAAUCCUGACACAGGGAGGUAGUGACAAUAAAUAACAAUACCGGGCUCUUUGGGUUUGGUAAUUGAAAUGAGUACAAUCUAAAUCCCUUAAUGAGGAUCUAUUGGAGGGCAAGCCUGGCGCCAGCAGCCGUGGUAAUUCCAACUCCAAUAGUGAUGUGGACGUCAAGCCAUAUUGAGGAGGUAGUGCUAGGGACCCAUUGUCUAUUCUGACUAGUUUGAUUACUUGAGCGCAGGCCAAGAAAUUCAGGCAAGCUGAUGGCGUCAUGGUUCAUGAUCUUUGGCGUGGAGAUGACCUUGGAUCAAAUCUUGAAGAAUCUUGGAAAUCUUGGCGCAAUUUGAUUAUAUGAACACCAAAUAUUUGACCAAGUCAUAUAUAUUCUUAUUUAGGAAUAUUCUAGAACAUGACGCAUUAGAUUUCUAGAAUUGGUUUUAGGGUUUGCGUGGUGAUUAGCAAGCCUAUAUUAAAGACUGGCUGAAUUUCUUUGGGACAGAUAUAUUUUUAUUUUUUAGGAAAAAGUUGAGAGAUUCUCUUUUACUGUUCUUUUGAGGACUUGACCUUAUCAAGGUUCCCUUGUGACGGUCGAUUCAACUUAUCAAGCGAGAUAGCGAAUUCUUUCGCUCGUGGUGUCUAUAACGUUGGUUGAUUGACACUCGUUCAUCAAUAGGUCACGUUUAUACUGAGGUUGCCAAUCACACGUUUGAUUGGAGGUCGAGGUUCGCAAUUUACACCAUCCAGGCCUUCGUAGAACAAUAUUUCCGCAACAAUUCACAUCAAAUAGCGUAUAUUUAAGUGAUUGUAGUUAAAAAGCUCACAGUUGGACCUUGGGUUGGGUCGACAAGUUCACCUCACGAUGUGCACCAAUUGGCUCAUCCCUUCUACCGACGAAGAUACACUCCUGGCCUUAACUAGUUAAGCCGUGCCUCUAAUACUAUUACUUUGAAGAAAUUAGAGUGCUCAUAGCAAACCUACGCUCAAUAUACAUUAGCAUGGGAUAACAUCAUAGGAUUCCAGUCCUAUUGUGUUGGCCUUUAGGAUCAAACUAAUGAUUAACAUGGACAGUCAGAAGCAUUCGUAUUUCAUAAUCAGAGGUGAAAUUCUUGGAUUUAUGAAACACGAAAACUACGAAAGUAAUUCUUACAAAAAAAAAACCAACUGCGAAAGUAAUUCAUUACCUUUACCAAAA